AGUGAACGCUGGCGGUAGGCCUAACACAUGCAAGUCGAACGGCAGCACAGUAAGAGCUUGCUCUUACGGGUGGCGAGUGGCGGACGGGUGAGGAAUACAUCGGAAUCUACUUUUUCGUGGGGGAUAACGUAGGGAAACUUACGCUAAUACCGCAUACGACCUACGGGUGAAAGCAGGGGAUCUUCGGACCUUGCGCGAUUCAAUGAGCCGAUGUCGGAUUAGCUAGUUGGCGGGGUAAAGGCCCACCAAGGCGACGAUCCGUAGCUGGUCUGAGCGGAUGAUCGGCCACACUGGAACUGAGACACGGUCCAGACUCCUACGGGAGGCAGCAGUGGGGAAUAUUGGACAAUGGGCGCAAGCCUGAUCCAGCCAUACCGCGGGGGUGAAGAAGGCCUUCGGGUUGUAAAGCCCUUUUGUUGGGAAAGAAAAGCAGCAGGUUAAUACCCCGCUGUUCUGACGGUACCCAAAGAAUAAGCACCGGCUAACUUCGU
rnacentral:rRNA from 1 species